rfam:Triticum aestivum genome assembly, contig: Triticum_aestivum_CS42_TGACv1_scaffold_307680_4AS
CUUCUACUGCCUCUGUCCCGAAUUACUUGUCGUAGAAAUGGAUGUAUCUAGAACUAAAAAUACAUCUAGAUACAUCCAUUUCUGCGACAAGUAAUUCGGGAUGGAGGGAGUACUUC